CAAUAACUGUGUGGGUUGUCAUUUUUCUUUCAGGUUCAGCACCAGAGGUGUGAAGGACAGAGGAGAUCCUUGACAUGAAUUUAUACAGGAGCUUUGGAAACCUUUUGGAGGCUUGGGUGACUGAAGGAAGUCCAUAUCCGGACUCAGAGUGGCUUGGAAAUAAUGCCGAAGACUCUGUUACACCUUCCUCUGACAUGGGAACUAACCUGCGCUCAGAAUCGGUGGACUCUGGAGUGGAGACAGCCAGCUCUGACAUGUCUUUUCUUGCUACUUCCAGCUCUGUCUUAACGGAUAACACAGACUUGUUUAUGCCUCAAAGUGAAGGAGUCACUCCAGCAUCCAACUCUGAGUCUCCUCUUCUCUCCUCUCAUGUGCCUUCCUCUUCCUCUUCUUCGUCCCCUCGUCCCAUCAGAGCUGAAAAAGAAUCCUCUGCCUUCCACCUAAAAGUGGAGCAAGCACUACAACGGAUAGACUCUAAAUGCUUGAAGGACAACCCAAAGCCCCUGACGGUGGAUGAGGUGCUCAGGCGGCGGCCUCGGGCAUCUUCUCUGCCCAAACGGCACACACCAGGGUUAGUGAGAGGUCAAAGGUCAGAGAGUUCCUCCCUAAGGCGGACAGCCAACACAUCUGUCCCUGUCAGGCAGAUGUCAGAAAUGCUCAGACGACCUCAGUCAAUGAGAUGUGACAAGCAGAGACACGAGAGCUGUGCUGUCGAGCAGACAACCGAGCUGAGUCCUGGCCUCUGCUACUUAGAGCAGGUGUGUAAAACACUGGAAGAAAUUGCCAGACGGCAGAUGCACAGCCGAGGCUUACAGUUUGAGAUGGAUGCCCUGUGGGAACAUGAAGACAUGCAGGCUGCUGACACAUGUCAGAGCGACUGUAUAGCUGCUGAGGAGGAGCCGUAUUCUUGUCAAAGGUUUGAAAAGGCAGAGAACCAAAGAAGUUCCAGUGAAAGGCAGCGGCGGAAACAUGGACAUUUUCGGCAGCGAUCAGCUUCAGACACAACUAUUGCAACAUUGCAUUUAAAAAAGCUGAGCACAGCCAGCAGAGGCCAGCAUCUGAGUACACAUGACUUGCUGGAGAAGGAAGAGGAACAGCAUGAAAAGCAGUCGACAAAAGAGGAGCCCAAUAACAGGAGCUGGAGGUUAAAAAUCGGGUCUUUGAGAAGAGAGCAGUCUGCUCUGUCAGAUACAAAGAGCCAACAGAUGCAGUCGCCCGAAAAAAAGUCAACCCGGCGACGGUUGAGCCAGCUGUUCAAGAGGAGAGGGAAAGCUCAGUAAAUGGACCACUUUGUCUGUCUCUGUCUGUAUCUUAAGAAGAGGAUGCUGUCCUUUGAAUCUGCUUUGUCAAGAAUUUCCUGCUGUGGAUAUGAUCUGUAUAUUUAUUACCUUUUUAUUUAUAUAAACAAAUGAAGCCUUUUUUGUAAAAUUGUGAUACAAAUAUAUAACAUCAUAAUUUAGAUGUCAAAGCCUGUGUAAUCGUCCUUUAUGCACAACAAUUAUUAUCCUAUUAUAGGUCUAGGUUAUGUAGAAUGAUAACUUUUAGCAUAGCAU
ensembl:lncRNA uncharacterized LOC114443325